rnacentral:rRNA from 1 species
UACAGAGGUGGCAAGCGUUGUUCGGAAUUACUGGGCGUAAAGGGCGCGUAGGCGGCCUUCUAAGUCAGACGUGAAAUCCCCCGGCUUAACCUGGGAACUGCGUCUGAUACUGGGAGGCUUGAGUAUGGGAGAGGGAUGUAGAAUUCCCGGUGUAGCGGUGAAAUGCGUAGAUAUCUGGAGGAAUACCGGUGGCGAAGGCGGCAUCCUGGACCAUUACUGACGCUGAUGAGCGAAAGCCAGGGGAGCAAACGGG